AUUCAAAUAUCUGCCCUAUCAACUUUCGAUUGUAGGGUAUUGGCCUACAAUGGUAUCAACGGGUAACGGGGAAUUAGGGUUCGAUUCCGGAGAGGGAGCCUGAGAAACGGCUACCACAUCCAAGGAAGGCAGCAGGCGCGCAAAUUACCCAAUCCCGACACGGGGAGGUAGUGACAAUAAAUACUGAUACAGGGCUCUUUUGGGUCUUGUAAUUGGAAUGAGUACAAUUUAAAUCCCUUAACGAGGAACAAUUGGAGGGCAAGUCUGGUGCCAGCAGCCGCGGUAAUUCCAGCUCCAAUAGCGUAUAUUAAAGUUGUUGCAGUUAAAAAGCUCGUAGUUGAACCUUGGGCCUGGCUGGCCGGUCCGCCUCACCGCGUGCACUGGUCCGGCCGGGCCUUUCCUUCUGGAGAACCGCAUGCCCUUCACUGGGUGUGUCGGGGAACCAGGACUUUUACUGUGAAAAAAUUAGAGUGUUCAAAGCAGGCCUUUGCUCGAAUACAUUAGCAUGGAAUAAUAGAAUAGGACGUGCGGUCCUAUUUUGUUGGUUUCUAGGACCGCCGUAAUGAUUAAUAGGGAUAGUCGGGGGCAUCAGUAUUCAAUUGUCAGAGGUGAAAUUUUUGGAUUUAUUGAAGACUAACUACUGCGAAAGCAUUUGCCAAGGAUGUUUUCAUUAAUCAGUGAACGAAAGUCAGGGGAUCGAAGACGAUCAGAUACCGUCGUAGUCUUGACCGUAAACUAUGCCGACUAGGGAUCGGGCGAUGUUAUUAUUUUGACUCGCUCGGCACCUUACGAGAAAUCAAAG
rnacentral:rRNA from 1 species